GAUGAAGAACGUAGCGAAAUGCGAUAAGUAGUGUGAAUUGCAGAAUUCCGUGAAUCAUCGAAUCUUUGAACGCACAUUGCGCCCGCCAGUAUUCUGGCGGGCAUGCCUGUUCGAGCGUCAUUUCAACCCUCAGGGCCCUUUUGGACCUGGCGUUGGGGCUCGGCCGCUACCCUGCGGCCGUCCCCGAAAGAUAGUGGCGGUCUCGCUGUAGCCUCCUCUGCGUAGUAGUUACAUCUCGCACUGGAACGCGGCGCGGCCAUGCCGUUAAACACCCCACUUCUCAAGGUUGACCUCGGAUCAGGUAGGAAUACCCGCUGAACUUAAGCAUAUCAAGCGGAGGA
rnacentral:misc_RNA from 1 species